AUUGAACGCUAGCGGGAUGCUUUACACAUGCAAGUCGAACGAGUGUCGGACGGGUGCGUAAUAUAUCGGAACGUGCCCAGUAGCGGGGGAUAACUACUCGAAAGCGUGGCUAAUACCGCAUACUAUUUGAGCGGCCGAUAUCGGAUGAUCUAGUUGGUGGGGUAAAGGCUCACCAAGGCAACGAUCCGUAGCUGGUUUGAGAGGACGACCCGCCAAACUGGGAGUGAGACACGGCCCAGACUCCUACGGGAGGCAGCAGUGGGGAAUUUUGGACAAUGGGGGAAACCCGGAUCCAGCCCUCCCGCGGGUAUGAGAAGGCCCUAGGGUUGUAAAGUACUUUCAGUCGGGAGGCGGUACCGACAGAAGAAGCACCGGCUAACUCCGUGCCAGCAGCCGCGGUAAUUC
rnacentral:rRNA from 1 species